rnacentral:rRNA from 1 species
GGAAACAGUUGCUAAUACCCAAUAUGCCGAGAGGUGAAAGAUUUAUUGCCUGAAGAGGAGCUCGCGUCUGAUUAGCUAGUUGGUGGGGUAAAAGCCUACCAAGGCAACGAUCAGUAGCUGGUCUGAGAGGAUGAGCAGCCACACUGGGACUGAGACACGGCCCAGACUCCUACGGGAGGCAGCAGUGGGGAAUUUUCCGCAAUGGGCGAAAGCCUGACGGAGCAACGCCGCGUGAGGGAGGAAGGCCCUUGGGUUGUAAACCUCUUUUGUUAGGGAAGAAGAAAGUGACGGUACCUAACGAAUAAGCAUCGGCUAACUCCGUGCCAGCAGCCGCGGUAAUACGGAGGAUGCAAGCGUUAUCCGGAAUUAUUGGGCGUAAAGGGUCCGCAGGUGGCUAUGCAAGUCUGCUGUUAAAGAAUCAGGCUUAACCUGAUCAAAGCAGUGGAAACUGCGAAGCUAGAGUUCAGUAGGGGUAGCGGGAAUUCCCAGUGUAGCGGUGAAAUGCGUAGAGAUUGGGAAGAACAUCGGUGGCGAAAGCGCGCUACUGGGCUGAAACUGACACUAAGGGACGAAAGCUAGGGUAGCGAAAGGGAUUAGAUACCC